AAGUCGUAACAAGGUUUCCGUAGGUGAACCUGCGGAAGGAUCAUUACAGAGCUCCUGCCCGCUUGGGUAGAUCUCCCACCCUUGAAUACUCAUACCUUUGUUGCUUUGGCGGGCCGCCUUGGCCGCCGGCUUCGGCUGGCGAGUGCCCGCCAGAGAACCCAAAACUCUAAAUUUAUAGUGUUGUCUGAGUACUAAAUAAUAGUUAAAACUUUCAACAACGGAUCUCUUGGUUCUGGCAUCGAUGAAGAACGCAGCGAAAUGCGUUAAGUAAUGCGAAUUGCAGAAUUCAGUGAGUCAUCGAAUCUUUGAACGCACAUUGCGCCCCUUGGUAUUCCGGGGGGCAUGCCUGUUCGAGCGUCAUUAUACCCCUCAAGCUUGGCUUGGUGUUGGGGCCUGCCGCAGGCAGCCCUUAAAAUCAGUGGCGGCGCCAACUGGCUCUAAGCGUAGUAAUACUUCUCGCUAUAGAGCGCUGUAGGCGUUAGCUAUCAAACCCUAAUUUUCUAUGGUUGACCUCGGAUCAGGUAGGGAUACCCGCUGAACUUAAGCAUAUCAAUAAGCGGAGGAAAAGAAACCAACAGGGAUUGCCUCAGUAACAGCGAGUGAAGCGGCAACAGCUCAAAUUUGAAAUCUGGCUCUUUCAGGGCCCGAGUUGUAAUUUGUAGAAGAUGCUUCGGGCGUGGCUCCAGUUUAAGUGCCUUGGAACAGGACGUCAUAGAGGGUGAGAAUCCCGUAUGUGACUGGGUGCCUUCGCACCAUGUGAAGCUCUUUCGACGAGUCGAGUUGUUUGGGAAUGCAGCUCAAAAUGGGUGGUAAAUUUCAUCUAAAGCUAAAUAUUGGCCAGAGACCGAUAGCGCACAAGUAGAGUGAUCGAAAGAUGGAAAGCACUUUGGAAAGAGAGUUAAACAGUACGUGAAAUUGUUGAAAGGGAAGCGCUUGCAACCAGACUUGCACGCGGUUGAUCAUCCGGUGUUCUCACCGGUGCACUCUGCCGCGUUCAGGCCAGCAUCGGUUUCGGUGGUUGGAUAAAGGCCUUGGGAAUGUAGCUCCCUUCGGGGAGUGUUAUAGCCCUCGGUGCAAUGCAGCCUACCGGGACCGAGGACCGCGCUUCGGCUAGGAUGCUGGCGUAAUGGUUGUAAGCGACC
rnacentral:rRNA from 1 species